rnacentral:rRNA from 1 species
GACGUAGGGCGCGAGCGUUGUCCGGAUUUAUUGGGCGUAAAGAGCUCGUAGGCGGCUUGUCGCGUCGUCCGUGAAAACCUGCGGCUCAACUGCAGGCUGGCGGUCGAUACGGGCAGGCUGGAGUUCGGUAGGGGAGACUGGAAUUCCUGGUGUAGCGGUGAAAUGCGCAGAUAUCAGGAGGAACACCAAUAGCGAAGGCAGCUCGCUGGGACGUUACUGACACUGAGGCGCGAAAGCGUGGGGAGCGAACAGG